UUAAUGGAGAGUUUGAUCCUGGCUCAGGACGAACGCUGGCGGCGUGCCUAAUACAUGCAAGUCGAGCGGAGUCUUACACUUUCUUCGGAAAGUGUUUGGCUUAGCGGCGGACGGGUGAGUAACACGUAGGUAACCUGCCCAUAAGACUGGGAUAACCCACGGAAACGUGAGCUAAUACCAGAUAGGCAUCUUC
rfam:Paenibacillus sp. 11 genome assembly, contig: Ga0139009_103